GUGGGGAAUUUUGGACAAUGGGCGAAAGCCUGAUCCAGCCAUGCCGCGUGCAGGAUGAAGGCCUUCGGGUUGUAAACUGCUUUUGUACGGAACGAAAAGACUCCUUCUAAUAAAGGGGGUCCAUGACGGUACCGUAAGAAUAAGCACCGGCUAACUACGUGCCAGCAGCCGCGGUAAUACGUAGGGUGCAAGCGUUAAUCGGAAUUACUGGGCGUAAAGCGUGCGCAGGCGGUUAUAUAAGACAGAUGUGAAAUCCCCGGGCUCAACCUGGGAAGUGCAUUUGUGACUGUAUAGCUAGAGUACGGUAGAGGGGGAUGGAAUUCCGCGUGUAGCAGUGAAAUGCGUAGAUAUGCGGAGGAACACCGAUGGCGAAGGCAAUCCCCUGGACCUGUACUGACGCUCAUGCACGAAAGCGUGGGGAGCAAACAGGAUUAGAAACCCCGGUAGUCC
rnacentral:rRNA from 1 species